GCCGACAUAGCUCAGCUGGUAGAGCAACUGACUUGUAAUCAGUAGGUCCCGAGUUCGACUCUUGGUGUCGGCACCA
rnacentral:tRNA from 4 species